ACUGUAUGUUCCAUGCUAACUAAUCCCCGAUUUUACAGUCGCAUUAGUAAAUUAUGCAGUGCUUCUCACUGAUUUAGUUGCCUUCUCUGAUCAUUUAAAUCUCUGCUAUAUCUUUACCAUAGCCAUAGUAUGCCAUACUUGGGUCUUACAGUUGCUAAAGCACUGAAUGUGCUCUGUUGUUUUUUUUCUUUUCCAUUAAUGCACUUAGGCAUUACAAUACUUGUUUGUUUAAAAACUACUUUGACAGUUCACUUGACUCUGGAUUUCAUGCUGUGGUCAUUAAGUGUGGAUGCUGACUGUGUCCUGGGCAGUUAUAGCUGCUAUGAUCACUCUCUGUCUGACUAUUACACUUGUAAUUAAGCAGAGAGUCUGGGGUGUUGAGACAUUUACUCGCUCACUAACAGAAACAGUCCCUGGGAUGCUUACUGUGUGCAACUGUGCAGAGGAUAAUUGUCUCCUCUUAAUGAGUUCUGUGGGAGCACUGCUGGAUGAUGUACAUGGUGAUAUUGCUGGAUCUUGGAAGCUGGAUGUACCUGUUAGAUUCUGCUGCUCCAUUUAGCACCACAGCCUUUCUCAAGAGUGCUGUACCUUCAUAAUAGCGAAGUGGGGAAAGUGUUAAUUAAAUGAAAGUUUACCUAGCUGUUUUUCCUUCUCUAAGUAGGAUUUAUAGGAUUUAAGCAAACCUGUUAGAAUUCCUUGAUCUUAUUCUCUCUGUUUCUUCCACUCACCUUACAGCCUGGCUAUCACCAGCUCUGGGCAUGAUUGCACUCUUAAAUCCCUCUCUUAUCAUUUUAUCAUAUAAGGUGUAUGGAGGAGACAAUAUUCUCACUUUACUUCCCUGAACACAAACGGUGCUCUCCUAGGAGGCACGAAAUCCUGAGGCAUACACAGAUGUGAAGGCAUGGAAUAACUUUCUUCUUGCACCCAUUCUACCUUUGAUUGGUGUGAGUAAUAUCAAAAAAGGAGAAAAACAAAUGGCCUAUGGUAAUGCCUGUGUCUUUGUAGGCUCACUGACUUCUGGGCACAGUACCAGCAUGGUCUGGAUUGAUCUAGUGUGGAUUUGCUAAAUAAUGGGUGUGAUUAUUCAGAUUUGUUUUAAUACCUUCGCUCUCCAACCUCUCUCUUGGGGGAAGGGGUAUCCUUUGACAUCCCCCCAUCCUAUUCAUGUCACUAGAGGCUUAGAAGGAAGAGAGUAACUUGACUCUUUGGCUGCUAAACAGUCUCUUCUCUCCCUGCUGUCCACCCACCCAAACAACAGUCACAGGGAAAUCCACUGCACUACAGUUACGGUUCAGGCAGCAAAGCUGAUCUGGAUUAACUGACUCGAUUAGUUACAAGCACGUAGAUGAGGAGGUGGCAGGGGGUGUACUGUUCCUGUGUUAGGGUGUGUGACCUCCACAUUACUGAGGAAGUAAAAGAUUGCCUCUCCUGAAGGAUACGAAGUCAGUGUCACUUCCUGAUCUUUAAAAAAAUGCUGUUCUCUGUGCUGAGCCCACAAGGAUGAGGGACUAAGACUAUGUCUACACUACCCAGCUUUUGUUGCUACAGCUGUGCUGCUAAAAGUCAUGCAGUGUAGCCACUGUUCGUCUGUUCUCCUGCCGACAUAAAACUUCCACCCCCAACGAGUGGAGUUUGCGUUGUCAGCAGGAGAGUGCAUCUGACAACAAUGCACUAUUCACACUGGCACUUGUCGUGGCAAAACUUUUGUCUUUUCAGGGUGGGGGUGGGGGUGGGAGGACGCCUCUGAAAGGCAAAAGUUUUGUCGUUCAAUUGCCAGCGUAGACAUAGCCUAAGGCAGUGAAUUCAGUGAAUUGCUGCAGUGAAUUCAGGAGGAGUCUUGCCAUUGACUUCCAUGUGAGCAGGAUUUGACCCUACAGCAGAAGCAGAAAGCAAUUCCACCUCCCUGCUUCUUGACAAAGGGGGAUUGGGAUUGUGACACUAAUUCCCAUGUUCUUCAGAGAAAUAUUGUUAUAGUAUGAUUAUGGCAUAUCUAAGAUGUAUUAUAUGCAAGAUGGGUCGUGUGAGAUAUCAUUGGAAAGGUUAUGAUUUACUGAAUAUGAUUAUCAUAUUUGUAUGCAUGAAUCAUUUUGGUAUCUGAAGUUAGGAAUAUUGUUGAUGCACCUAUUACAAAUGUGUUUACACCUGGUGAACGCCCACUGGACAGAAUACAAGCAGUCUAGAUUGCUGGCUGGAAAGGGCCAUCAGGAAAAACAAUAGGUCUUUGAAGAUGCUGAUCUCCCACCUUCCUGGAAAGCCUUCCUGUGUACACUGUAAAUAGACUUUGAGUUAUGGCUGCAGGGCCAUGUGAUCAUAUCAUCUGAUAUUGGACUCCAUGAUAAAAUUAGUACUUUUCCACUGACCGGGGUGGGGGGUGGGAAUCACACUGGAAGACAAAGGAUUCCUUUUGCCAUAUGUAAAACCUAUUUAAGGCCAGGGAGUGACAUAAUCGUGGUUCCUUCUUCACCGUCUGCCUGCCCAAGAUGACUGCUGUAAACAUCUAAGACUGAACUGGGGAAGAAAGGAUUGAACCUAGGCUGGAGGGUGUUUUGUCUGUGAAAGAAAUACCUGGAGUUUUAAGCUGCAAGCGAGAGCAGCUUGCCUUCAAGAAUCUCUGCAAUCUGCCUAAAACAACAUUUAGGGUGAGAAUUUGCUAGUUAUAACCAUUUCUUUAGUAUAUUAAGCUUAACUUGUGUGUUUGUUUCAUUUGCUAGAUAAUCUGCUUUGAUCUGUUUGCUAUCACUUAAAAUUUAUCUUUUGUAGUUAAUAAACUUGUUUUUGUUUU